UUUCAGUCAAGCACAGAGGAGGAGACAAUGUUUCCGAAGAGGCUGAGUGUGGAGAGAGUCUGCUAAUCUGGAAGGGGUGACCCUGAGCGUCCAGUGUGGACACUGACUCAGCGAAGAGAAAGUAGCAGACGACGAGAUAAAAUGAAGAGAGUGGAUUACAGAGAUACUUAACGUUGCCACUUGGGACAGAGGUGGACACAGGGCAGUGUCUGAGUAUACUCAUGAAGAGGAAAUAUGUCGUACAAUAUCUUUUUGCAUCCGAUCGUCUCAAGUAAAUGGAGCUGCAAAAUGAAAUGCUGGAAAUGACGAUGGUUAUAUUCAUUACACCUUUGUUCCUCACUCCUUCCAAUACCGGAGGUCCUCUCCCUGGCACGGAACCCUCUUCACGUGGCUAGGAAGGAUGACCUCUCAUCACAGAGUGACGUGGCUAAGCAGGUCUGGGUGGCGUGAACCGCACCUCUGACUGUAAAUUUUCAUCUAGCAGGGAUCAUGUGUCCUAAGUUGUCGGGACAGUCUGAGUCUUUCCUAGACUCUUAAGAACUCUUGAAGAAAUCCUUCCAGUUAGAAUUGCUAAGCAGAUAUUUGUGACUGAGGGGCCACAGCAGCCAUUUCGUGCAACAUAGGAGAAUUUCCUGAUCUACAAGCUUAAUCCAAGUACUCACAAGUGGCAAAUUCUAAGCUCUCGUGGUAGAAGGAAGUGGACCAGAGCUGAGUCUGAGAGUUGAAUUGCUCUACAUGAGAAAACAGGAAGAAUCUGUUUUUGUUUUUGCUUUGCUGGAUUAAUGCCUGUUAAACCAAACUUUCUUUAAAAGGCUGCAAAAAAAGGAAGAUCCCUUUUAUUUUUAAAAACACCACUAUCCGUUAUCGCAAAUAAGCCACGGGAUGCUCGUAUGCAGUAGAAAAUAAGGUGGAGUCCGUGAGGUAUACAUUUCCCAGGGAGCCGGUUCCACGAUGUUCUUCCAAUUAAUCUGGGAAAAUGGAGGAAUAAGACCUUUCUGAACAUUUAGGGUGUUCAGCAGGUGCAAGAACCCUGUGGGGCUGGAAAACAGCUCCAAGUCAAUAGGGGCGGUUUAAUUACCUUUGCUCUGUGCCAGGCACAGAGAAAUAGGACUUAACACGUAUUAUCUCUACGACACAGCUUUGGGGCAGGGACUGGUAGCAUCGCUUUCCCAGGAAACUGAGGCACAGUGAUUCAUCAACCUUCCGAGUUCACACCUGCUGAGAGUCAUCUGGUCGGCAGA
rnacentral:lncRNA from 1 species